GGACCCGUAGUUUAAUGGAUAGAAUCACAGGCUUCGGACCUGUUGAUAAGGGUUCGAUUCCCUUCGGGUCCG
rnacentral:tRNA from 1 species